rnacentral:rRNA from 1 species
AGCAGCCGCGGUAAUUCCAGCUCCAAUAGCGUAUAUUAAAGUUGUUGCAGUUAAAAAGCUCGUAGUUGAAUUUCGAGAUCAAAUUGUUGGUCGUGCCUUGGUACGCACUGGCAUUAUUGGUUUCUCCCUUCUGACGAACCAUGAUGUCAUUAAUUUGGUGUCUUGGGGAAUCAGGACUGUUACUUUGAAAAAUUAGAGUGUUUAAAGCAGGCUCACGCUUGAAUACAUUAGCAUGGAAUAAUGAAAUAGGACGUUUGAUUCUAUUUUGUUGGUUUCUAGGAUCGACGUAAUGAUUAAUAGGGAUAGUUGGGGGCAUUAGUAUUCAAUUGUCAGAGGUGAAAUUCUUGGAUUUAUUGAAGACUAACUACUGCGAAAGCAUUUGCCAAGGAUGUUUUCAUUAAUCAAGAACGAAAGUUAGGGGAUCGAAGACGAUCAGAUACCGUCGUAGUCUUAACCAUAAACUAUGCCGACUAGGGAUCGGAUGAUGUUAAUUUUUAAUGACUCAUUCGGACG